rnacentral:rRNA from 1 species
UACGUAGGGCGCAAGCGUUGUCCGGAAUUAUUGGGCGUAAAGAGCUCGUAGGCGGCUUGUCACGUCGGGUGUGAAAGCCCGGGGCUUAACCCCGGGUCUGCAUCCGAUACGGGCAGGCUAGAGUGUGGUAGGGGAGAUCGGAAUUCCUGGUGUAGCGGUGAAAUGCGCAGAUAUCAGGAAGAACACCCGUGGCUAAGGCGGCUCUCUAGUACGUGACUGACGCUGAGACGCGAAAGCGUGGGGAGCGAACAGG